rnacentral:rRNA from 1 species
UACGAAGGGGGCUAGCGUUGCUCGGAUUGACUGGGCGUAAAGGGCGCGUAGGCGGCUUACACAGUCAGACGUGAAAUUCCUGGGCUCAACCUGGGGGCUGCGUUUGAUACAUGUAGGCUUGAGUUCGGAAGAGGGUCGUGGAAUUCCCAGUGUAGAGGUGAAAUUCGUAGAUAUUGGGAAGAACACCGGUGGCGAAGGCGGCGACCUGGUCCGAUACUGACGCUGAGGCGCGAAAGCGUGGGGAGCAAACAGG